CACAUGCAAGUCGAGGGGUAACAGAGAGAAGCUUGCUUUUCUGCUGACGACCGGCGCACGGGUGAGUAACGCGUAUACAAUCUGCCUUAUACAGAGGGAUAGCCUUUAGAAAUGAAGAUUAAUACCUUAUAGUCUAUUUUUAUAGCAUUAUAUAAAUAGUAAAGCUUCGGUGGUAUAAGAUGAGUAUGCGUCCUAUUAGUUAGUUGGUAAGGUAACGGCUUACCAAGACAACGAUAGGUAGGGGCCCUGAGAGGGGGAUCCCCCACACUGGUACUGAGACACGGACCAGACUCCUACGGGAGGCAGCAGUGAGGAAUAUUGGACAAUGGAGGCAACUCUGAUCCAGCCAUGCCGCGUGCAGGAAGACGGCCCUAUGGGUUGUAAACUGCUUUUAUAUAGGAAGAAACCUUUUCACGUGUGAGAAGCUGACGGUACUAUAAGAAUAAGGACCGGCUAACUCCGUGCCAGCAGCCGCGGUAAUACGGAGGGUCCGAGCGUUAUCCGGAAUCAUUGGGUUUAAAGGGUCCGUAGGCGGGAAUCUAAGUCAGUGGUGAAAUCUUGCAGCUCAACUGUAAAAUUGCCAUUGAUACUGGAUUUCUUGAAUUAGUGUGAAGUGAUUAGAAUGUGUAGUGUAGCGGUGAAAUGCAUAGAUAUUACACAGAAUACCAAUUGCGAAGGCAGAUCACUAACACUAUAUUGACGCUGAGGGACGAAAGCGUGGGGAGCGAACAGGAUUAGAUACCCUGGUAGUCCACGCCGUAAACGAUGGAUACUAGCUGUUCGAUCUUCGGAUUGAGUGGCUAAGCGAAAGUGAUAAGUAUCCCACCUGGGGAGUACGUUCGCAAGAAUGAAACUCAAAGGAAUUGACGGGGGCCCGCACAAGCGGUGGAGCAUGUGUUUAUUCGAUGAUACGCGAGGAACCUUACCAGGGCUUAAUGUAGUCUGACAGCUUAGAGAUAGAGUUUCUUCGGACAGAUUACAGUGCUGCAUGAUUGUCGUCAGCUCGUGCCGUGAGUGUCAGUUAAGUCCUAUACGAGCGCACCCCUGUUGUAGUUGCCAGCGAGUAAUGUCGGAACUCUAACAAGACUGCCGGUGCAAACGCGAGAAGUGGAUGACGUCAAUCAUCUCGGGCCUUACUUCUCUGGGCACACAGGCUACAUAUGCGCUCCCAAAAAAGACAC
rnacentral:rRNA from 1 species